AAAUUUAAUAUUAUUUAAUUAUUUAUUUUAUUUUUAUUAAUUUAUUAAAAAUAAUUUUAUUUUAAUUAAGUUUAAGUAUAUUUUAUAGAAAAAAUAUUAUUAAUAGUUAUAGUUAAUUUGUAUUGUAAAAGAUUUAUGAAAAAUUUAUUAAAAUUUAUUUGGUAAAAAGUAAAUUUUGUUUAUUGUACCUUGUGUAUCAGGGUUUAUUAAUUAAAAAAUAAUUUAAUUAUUUUUCUCGAAUUUAAAAGAUUUAUUUUAAUAUAAUUUUUAUUGUAAAAUAAAUAUUUUCAAUAUUAAAAUAGUAAUGAAAUGUUAUUCGUUUUUAAAUAUAUCUAGUUUUUUAAUAAAUGAAUUUAAUUCACAUAUUGUUUUAUUAAUAUUAAUUAUAAUUUUAAUUUUAAAAACAAUAUUAAUAUUUUAGGGGAUAAGCUUUAAAGUAAAUUAUUAAAAUUUUAAUAUUGAUAGUUUUAUUUAUAUAGGCUUAGAAAUAGUUUUUAUUUUAAAAAUGUUAUAAUUUUAAUAAAAGUUUAAAAAAUUUUCUUUAAGAUUUAAUUUAAUUUAUUAAAGUAAUUUAUUUAAUUAUAAAAUAAUUUUAAUAAUGAUAAAAUUAGUAAAUAUUGUAUUGUAAAUAAUAUUAAUUUUCAUUAAAGGUUAAUUUAAGUAAUUCGGCAAAAAUUAUAUUCACCUGUUUAACAAAAACAUGUCUUUUUGAUUUUAAUUUAAAGUCUAAUCUGCUCUAUGAAUAUUUUUAAAUGGCCGCAGUAUUUUGACUGUGCAAAGGUAGCAUAAUAAUUUGUCUUUUAAUUGAAGGCUAGAAUGAAUGAUUUGAUGAGGUAUAAACUGUCUCUAAUUAAUUAAAAUUUUAAUUUAAUUUUUAAGUUAAAAAGCUUAAAUUUUUUUAAAGGACGAGAAGACCCUAUAGAGUUUUAUAAUAUUAUUGUUUAAAUUUUUUAAUUUUAAUUUUAAAAUUUUAAUAUUAUUUUAUUGGGGUGAUAAUAAGAUUUAAUAAACUUUUUUUAAUAAAAUUUACAUUAAUAAAUGAUUUUUUGAUCCUUUUUUUAAGAUUAUAAGUUUAAAUUACCUUAGGGAUAACAGCGUUAUUUUUUCUAGAGUUCUUAUCAAUGAGAAAUAUUGCGACCUCGAUGUUGGAUUAAAAUUUAAUAUGGGUGAAGAAGCUCAAUAUUUAAGUCUGUUCGACUUUUAAAAUUUUACAUGAUCUGAGUUCAAACCGGUGUAAGCCAGGUUGGUUUCUAUCCUUAAAUUUUUAUAGAUUUUUAGUACGAAAGGACCAAAAUCUGAAAUUAUAUUUAUUUAUAAAGAAAAUUAUUAAUAAAAGUUUAAAUAU
rnacentral:rRNA from 1 species